rnacentral:rRNA from 1 species
ACCGGGAUUGCCCUAGUAACGGCGAGUGAAGCGGCAAGAGCUCAAAUUUGAAAUCUGGCCCCCUCGGGGUCCGAGUUGUAAUUUGCAGAGGAUGCUUUGGGUGCGGCCCCUGUCUAAGUGCCCUGGAACGGGCCGUCAGAGAGGGUGAGAAUCCCGUCUUGGGCAGGGUGCCCGUGCCCGUGUAAAGCUCCUUCGACGAGUCGAGUUGUUUGGGAAUGCAGCUCUAAAUGGGUGGUAAAUUUCAUCUAAAGCUAAAUACCGGCCGGAGACCGAUAGCGCACAAGUAGAGUGAUCGAAAGAUGAAAAGCACUUUGAAAAGAGAGUUAAAUAGCACGUGAAAUUGUUAAAAGGGAAGCGCUUGCGACCAGACUCGCCUCCGGGGUUCAACCAGCAUUCGUGCUGGUGUACUUCCCCGGGGGCGGGCCAGCGUCGGUUUGGGCGGCCGGUCAAAGGCCCCAGGAAUGUGUCGCCCUCCGGGGCGUCUUAUAGCCUGGGGUGCAAUGCGGCCAGCCCGGACCGAGGAACGCGCUUCGGCACGGACGCUGGCGUAAUGGUCACAAACGACCCGUCUUGAAACACGGACCAAGGAGUCUAACAUCUACGCGAGUGUUCGGGUGUCAAACCCGUACGCGCAGUGAAAGCGAACGGAGGUGGGAGCCCCUUAAGGGGCGCACCAUCGACCGAUCCUGAUGUCUUCGGAUGGAUUUGAGUAGGAGCGUAGCUGUGGGGACCCGAAAGAUGGUGAACUAUGCCUGAAUAGGGCGAAGCCAGAGGAAACUCUGGUGGAGGCUCGCAGCGGUUCUGANGUGCAAAUCGAUCGUCAAAUUUGGGUAUAGGGGCGAAAGACUAAUCGAACCAUC